GAUGGAAGCACAGUGGGACGAUGAAAUACAUCCUGCUUCUCGUUCCCAGCGCAAAACUGUUCCUUCACGGUCCCGCAGUGGAAGAAUCCAAGAAUGAGCGUAGACAGGAGAGCGCGAGACAAGGAAGGGAAGGAGAGGGUGAGCGAUGGAGGCAGAGAGAGAAAAGACGGGAGGAGGGGGGGGGGCUGAGAGUGAGAAAUGAAAAAGGGAAUAUUGGCAGAUUAAGAGAGAGAGAGAGAAAGUGAGAGGGAGAGAGUCACAGUGCAUUCCAGCUACCGUGAGUGUUUGGUUAGCACCAUUGUUAUGGGUAAUAGCAGGUUUGCACCUCCCUGAAGUGCCAAUCAGCGUUAAGUGUCACUGAUUUCUUCCUGUUGCCAAGCACCGCCGGCAAGGGGAGGGCGAGUGUGAACCGGGGGCGCUGGGGAGGCGGGGGGAGGGGCGGGUCAUCCAGCCUGGGAGUCCCGGGCGCGGAUCUGUCAGGGGCUGGGUGGACGUGGCUGCGAGAUGUCGAGAGACAGAGAGCUCAAGAAAUACAGUAAGAGAGGGAGGGAGCUUGCGCCGCUGUUUUCAAUCAUCCCCGCACAGGCAAUAAAUGGGUCUUCAAAUUCCUCCUGACAAGCUGCCACUCCAGACCCUUCAGCCACUUGGCAUUCACAGACCUGCCUGUCAGUUUAAAAGAUUAGGGCAUUGCUGGGGAUAAAUAAUUCAUGCUGCCGCUCCCUGUUAUGACAUUAUGCUGACGAGUCACGCGCCAGAACAGUCGCCACACAUCCCCCCCUUGCAGGAGAGCAGCUACUGUGGAUGUUUCUCCGAUUUCCUCACCGGGCAGGCGCUGAUGUCCAGACGCGCACCUAAUCUGAGAAGCUGGAGCCCGAGGAGAACGUCACGCGUGACCUGCGGCUUGCUACACGCGUGUCAUUGUCCCAUAAUGCCCUGCACCCAGGAAGAGCCACCGAGGCCAAGAGGUUUAUACUUGCAGGGAGUGGUAUCGCGCUCGGUCCAGGAGACAAUAGGACUGACAAAAGCCAAGCAGCAGGGACAGAAAAACAAGGAGGCCAAAGGGCAAGAGGCCAGGGGUCAGAGUUCUGAGGUCAAAGAGAUCAAGAGGUCAGAGGUCGAAGGACAGAGGUAAAGAAAUGAGAGGAAACAACAAAACAAACAGGACAGAAAUGGAAGAGAGAGGGGAGGAGGGCAACGUGCGUCUCGGCCAGAUGAAGGACUGAAAGCCUGGGGCACGAGCUCUGUUGCUAAGCAGACGGGAAAUCUGUACAAAGAUUUAUCUCAAGGGCAGCGGGCUAGCGUCUGGGUCGCCAUGGUUACUGCAGCACCGGAAAGACAGACACAGAUUGCGCAGGGCUUUCCAGAGCAGUAUCCCUGACAUCCUAGCGCAGGGCCUCGACCAGAGGAAUGCAGACAGAGGAGAGCUAGGUCUUUGCCCUCCAAGCCACUCUCACCUCCUCACUCCACUGUGCAGGACAAGGUCUGACCGUCAAGGUGGCUGGUUAUCUGAUCAUCCUCUCAUCCAGCUUAUAACCAUCCAUUUCACAAUCACAGGAGAGCCGGAGCCUAACCCAGCAAGACCCUGGAAAGUGCCACCCCAUCACACUCAUACCACGACACACUCCAGUUUUCCCAGAAGCCAAUUCAUUGCUUUUCUCUGCCUUCCAAAAAAAUUAAAGUACAAAAUAAAACUAAUGAAAUGAAUAAC
rnacentral:lncRNA from 1 species